rnacentral:sRNA from 1 species
UUUAUGGCCCCGGGCCUGGGCUCUUUAUUAAACAAUAUUUUGUUGAUAUACAUCUGAAAGAAGUAUUUAUUAAAAAUCUUCUUCAGUGUUACAAUUGAUUGUACUUGCAGUUAAGAAAAUAAAGAAAUGUGUUUAGGAAGGAGUAGAAAUGCUCGUAGCUAUAUGUUUUUGUUUUUUGUUUUGUUCUUUUAUCAAAAUCAAAGAGGGAUAAUGGUUGUAUUUGUAUAGGAUAAAAAGUUAACAAUGACAAAAUAGUGCAAUCUAUAGCAGUGACAAUACGAAUACAUGUUUUAUUUAGAAUAUAAUACUUAUUUUGAUGUAAUUAUGUUAUUUAAAAAUUUGUUCUUUUUCAAUGUUGCUGUGAAAAAAAGGAAGAUAUUAAUGUAGAUAUGAAUGUGUCAAGUGCGUUAAAAUGAAAAAUUAUGAUUGAAAUUGUGUGGGAGUUAUUUAAUAAAUUAUUAUAUAUUUUGCAUUGUUUUCUUCGUACAUUCCUCUUUGUGAUGCACCUGUCUCGUGUUAUCGGGGAAUAAAAUCAAAUUCGUGUUC